UGGAUGGGUAUGCCUAGUGGCGAGGGCAGCGGACUGUAAAUCCGUCACAAAGAAACACCGCAGGUUCGAGUCCUGCCCCAUCCAU
rnacentral:tRNA from 1 species